rnacentral:misc_RNA from 1 species
GCAAACUUGGUCAUUUAGAGGAAGUAAAAGUCGUAACAAGGUUUCCGUAGGUGAACCUGCGGAAGGAUCAUUAUCAAUUUGGCGAACCGAGCUUUCUAGCAAGGUUUUGCGAUCAAUUUGUAUUUAAAACCCACACUUUAAAUUGUAUAUUUUUUAAAUGAUAAAAAAAAAAAAAGAUCACUUUCAACAACGGAUCUCUUGGCUCUCGCAUCGAUGAAGAACGCAGC